UACAGAGGGUGCAAGCGUUAAUCGGAAUUACUGGGCGUAAAGCGCGCGUAGGCGGUUUGGUAAGUGUGAUGUGAAAUCCCCGGGCUCAACCUGGGAACUGCAUCACAUACUGCCAAGCUAGAGUACGGUAGAGGGGGUAGAUUCCACGUGUAGCGGUGAAUGCGUAGAGAUGUGGAGGAAUACCAGUGGCGAGGGCGGCCCCUGGAUCGAUACUGACGCUGAGGUGCGAAAGCGUGGGGA
rnacentral:rRNA from 1 species